ensembl:lncRNA
AUGUUUACAAAAUGUCUUUUGUUGCCUAUCUCCCUAUUUAUACUUCUUUCCAAUCUCUUCAGGUUAGUUAAGAGAGUAUUACAAAACAUUUGUUAUAAAAGGGGUUUGGCAGAAUCAUGGAGUGCUCACAAAUGGCCAUAUGUUUCCUCAUAUUUUCUGCCCCCACCACAGCUAGGUGAGCCCAAUUCUGACCUAUGCACUGUAAGCAAAAUGACUUAAGUUACUCUGAGCUGAGCUACAGAUGAGUCAGGGUAUGACCUUCCAGCUCCACCAGUUUACCUGUUGCAACAACCAGCAGAGCUUUAUCUUUAGCUGGUAGAGCACAAGGAGCUAGAUCUCUGAGACAGCUGUUCAUAAUGGACACUGUGUGAAUGAGAAAUAUUCCUUUCUCGAGUCCCCAAAGUUAACUUGUUAACACAGCAUAAUUUGUUUUUACCUUGGCUACAAAAAUUUGGUAUUGUAGGAAAGAUACUGCUCUCUAAACCUAACAUAUGCACUGCCAUGUAGUGGGUGGCAAGGAAAUUCUUGGUGGAGGUUGAGAAGAGGGAGAUCUAUGUGAUACGGUGUCAAAAUGUGUUAAAACUUUCACCUUGGGUAAUAUGGAAGGCUAACAGGUGUAAGGAAGUGGUUGGAAAACAACAUCAAAUGUGUGUGCAGGGUCCUACUGGUUCCAUUUAGCAAGUUCUAUAUGUAUAAAAAAAGAUAUAUUGAGUAAAACAUUUUGGUAAAUGGAGGGUAUCUGUGGCCUUGCAUUAUUAGAAAAGCCAACCUCUUUGAGAUCCCAACUAUAAGAGACAGUUAAACAAAGCAUUCAGAAAGAAAUGUCUAGAAACUUCCCAGGUAACUCAACAGCCUCAGGGAAAAGAUUAGACCAAGAGCAUGGUAUUCUCUAGGAGUUCCUGCUAUGGCUCAAUGGGCUAAAAGUCUGACAUAGUGUCCAUGAGGAUGUGGGUGUGAUCACUGGCCUUGCACAGUGGGUUAAGGAUCCAAUGUCGUCACUGGCUGUGGCACAGGUCACAGAUGCAGCUCAAAUCUGGUGUUGCUGGGGUUGUGGCACAGGCCUGCAGCUGAGGCUCCAAUGUGAUUCCUAGCCCAGGAACUUCCAUAUGCUGUGGGUGUGGACUUAAACAAAAGUCCAUAAAAAACAAAUGCUGGAGAGGGUGUGGAGAAAAGGAAACCCUCCUACACUGUUGGUGGAACCACUAUGGAGAACAGUACAGAAGUUUCUUUAAAAACUAAAAACAGAACUACCAUAUGAUCUGUAAUUCCACUCUUGGGCAUAUAUCCAGAGAAAAAUGUAAUUUGAAAAGAUACAUGUACCCCUCUGUUCAAAGCAUCACUAUUUAUAGCAGCCAAGACAUGGAAACAAUCUAAAUGUCUAUCAACACAGAAAUGGAUAAAGAAGAUGUGGUACAUAUAUACAAUGCAAUAUUAUUCAGCCAUAAAAAAUAAUGAAAUAAUGCCAUUUGUAGCUACAUGAAUGAACCUAGAGAUUAUCAUACUAAGCAAAGUAAGUCAGAAAGAGAAAGAAAAAUACCAUAUGAUAUGACUUAUAUGUGCAAUAAAAAUAUGACAAAAAUGAACUUAUCCA